rnacentral:lncRNA from 1 species
UGUGAUCCCAAACCUCUGUUUUCCCCAGGAAAGCCUCGGCAGCCGCUCAGCCCCGCGCUCCCGCCGCGUCCAGCUGUGCGACCGCGCCCUUCGCUCCUGCGUGGCCGAGCUGGCCCGGCCCGGGGGGCUACCGGCCCACGGCGCCCAGCUGCUGACCCUGGCCCAGGAGGCCACCAACACCUACCUGAGCCUGGUCCCCGACCCCCCUCACCUUUACCUGGAGAAAAUCCUGUUCCACGUGCUGCGCAACGCCGCGGGAUGGGCCGGGAUCCGCACCUGGAGCGCGGCCGAGCUGCUGCGGGAGCGGCUGCGGCGCUGCCGCCUCCGCGACGCCGACUGGGCCGGGGUGACCCGCGGCGCCUUCGGGCUGCUGUGGCGAGCGGCGGCCGAGCUGGCCGGGCCAGAGAGGCCUCGAGAGGAGGGCAGGGCGGUGCUGAGCGCCCGGCUGCGCUCCCUGCGCUUCCUGCUGCUCUUGGAAUCGGAGCCGCCGGAACGCUCGGCUCGGGAAUCUUUCCGCCCGCCGUUCUUCGCCUCGUGCACCGCCCAGCACGCCGCCGCCGCCGCCGCGCUCUACGAGGCCCAGAGGGCUCCCUGCCCGCUUUUCCUGGCCAGGCAGCUGCGGGAAUGGCUGCUGGAAGCGCUGCGGGACGAGGCUCCGCGGCCUCCGGAUCCCGGGAGCUCCCUGUGCUGCCUGGAGCUCACCCUGGAGUGCUGCCGCCGCCUCUGCAAAGCCCGGCGGCACCGCGAGGCUCUGGACCUGCUGGGGGAUUCCAGAGGGUUUUUGGGAGCUGGGAAUUCUCUGGGAGCCCCUCUGGAGCUGCUGGAGGCCGGGAUCCAGCUCAGCUGGGCGCUGCUCAAAGGCGGGGCCGGAGUCCGAGCCGCGGGCUCGGCGUUGUGCCGGGCGGGAGCGGCGCUGGCGGCGGAACCUUCCGGAAGGAUUCUCCGGGUGAUGCUGGAGUGCUCCCAGUUUGUGCUGGCGCAGCUCGGGGAGGCGCUGAGGAAGAGCCAGGAGCUGCCCCUCGGCCUCCAGGAGCUUCCCGGGAUUUGUGCCUUCUCCCAGGGCCACGGGCGGGCGCUGCGGCAGCUGCUGGCCCAGGUCCCUCCUGACUCUGUCCAGGAGCAGGUGAUGGUGAAGCAGCUGCUGUUCCACAGCCUCCAGCUCUUCUCCAACGCCAUCCACGAAAUAUUCCAGCGCUCCCAGGUACCCCAGGGAACGGAUCCGGGU